rnacentral:lncRNA from 1 species
UUUUUUUUUUUUUUUUUUUUUUUUUUUAAAGCAGCUAGUUAACUUGGCCAAACUGCCAGCUGCAAGCUCUGGUUCCCCUAGAGUUCGUGGCAGCUCAGAUUUUAGUUCAGCUUUUUAACCUGGCUAUUGUACUUGAAAUCUCUUCUGUACAUGCAUGCGUGGGAGACCAGCCAGCUUUAGCAGAGUCAUACACAGAAUUUAGGGCUCUCUCUGUGGUUCUUUUCGUAUCAGGAUUUCCCUCUGCGUUUUCCAGCAGUUGCCAUUACCCCAAACGUGUCCUAGUGUUCUUCAAGUCAAUACAACUGUAGUCUCCACAUGAUGCAGAGUGAGGAGUUCCUCAGGCUAUGAACUAUAAAAAUAGGAAACUCACCCAGUGCUAUUUCUUCUAAGUAUUCACUCCUCUGUAGGAUCAACCUGCUUUUGGUUGUUUUCUAUUACUUUCAGUUAGUUAAUUUUUAAAUAUUUUGUCCAGAGUUUGUAAUUUCAUAUGUUGGCAGGUUGGUCUGAAAGAACUUCUUGACCAUCACUUGAAGUGGAACCCUCUCCAAUUGGGUAGUAUUCUUUUUCUACUUCCUAUGAUUACUGAGUAGGGAUUUGUUCCUGAUUAUUUUUAAAACUAGGUGAGUAGAAAUUUUUAACAUGUUCUAUCUAUGAAAAACCUUAAUUAUAAACAUUUAGUAAAUGUUUACCAAAUUAGCAAUUCAGUGUUUCCUAGUUGGUGUCCUACUAGGAAGGAAAAAGAAAAUGAAAAGAAGAAGAGAGGAAAGAACAAAAAUGCUUAACAACUUUUAGAAUUCCCUCCAAAUUUGUCAUCAAUAGGGUUUUUACUGAAUACAUUCUUUUAAAAUUAGCACUCUCUAAUCUUGAUGAAUUUGUAUUUUCAUAAAAAUCUGUAUUUUCAUAUUUCCAUUCAUUUGCACUGUGUUUCUCUUCGGGAAAGCUGUUAACCUUUCUUCAUAUUUACCUGUUGAAUGUUAUUUGUCCUUCCAAGUCCUGUUAGAUUCUUUCCCCUCCAGGACAACUUUCUUAAUUCUUGCAGGUGGAAAUUUUGUUCUUGUAUCUCACUCAGUGCCUAACACAGAUGUUAGCCCAGAGUAGUUUCUCAAUAAAUCCAGUUGAAUCAUUUUUGCUCUGGUUUAGAUUCUAUAUAAUCACAUAGAAAUAUGGCUUUACUAUUUCCAUUUUUAAAAAAUACAUCCAGACCUUUCACAAUUUACAAACCAGAGUAUAUUAGCUAACUUUUAAAAAAUAUUAAGAUUCAACUGUGUAUUAUUCUAGACAUAAAUUCACCUCUCCAGAAAUAAUUUGAACUAUCUGAAUGAGUUAUUGCUACUUGGAGAUUGCCUACCUACUUUUUUUCGUGCAGACUCGGUGACCUUUUUUAAAAAUAAGAAAAACAUCAAGAGUUUGUCAUUGAUCUUGUUACUUCUUUUAAUUGGUCUAAGUUUUUGACAAUAUUAUGAAUAUUGUGCUCAAUGAGAGUAAGCUUAUUCAUAAGCUUUAAUAUUUAAAAUAACAACUUGUUUAUUCAAAUUAAAACCUGUUUUCCUGUGUCAAAAGUGAACUUUUUCCUAAAUAUCAUUAUUAAUAACACUAUUGCCUACAGUUUCUUGUCAAGCAUUCAUAAGUGAAUGUGUCUUCUUCUAGAAAGUCAUCUUAAGGAAAUAAUUCCAAAUUGGGAAAAGGCAAUAUGCACAACUUUAAUUACAUCAGUUUUUAAAAGAAAAAAGAGAUGGAAACACUGAAAUUCUAACAAAUACCCAACAAAUAUUCGAGUACAUUCUAUGUACCAGACACUAUGCUAAGCACUGGUUGAGAAGACCAAAAUACAUCCUCAUGAUGUAUUACUAUGAUGCAAUGAUAUUUAUCAAUAAUAUGGGAAAAUUCUUACAGAUAUUAUAAAGUAUAUAAAAUUGUACAUGUGUGUAUUGUACAUAUAUAUACACAAAUUACAAUUAUUAUAUAAAACAAAGCAAAAACCUGUGAAUACAAAGAAGAGACUGGCAUAAAAUAUACCAAAAUAUUAUAGAUAGUGGAUUUUUUGUGUAUUUCCUCUUUAAAAUCUUCUUAAGGAUCAUAUAUUUUAGAUAGAACAAAAUAAAUUAAUCAAACUAUUCAGAAUAUGAACAAUGUCCCUAAUUUACCUAGUAGGCUUUCCCUUCAGAAUGUUUCCAUGUAUUUUUAUUCAAAAUUUAUUUUAAAAAGACACUUAGUUGACCUGUUAAAUCAUUAUCUGGACAAAUGUUUUGUUUUCAAGCUUAAAAAUGUACAUUGUUUUAUUUUAUUUUUGUCUCAUCAAAUUAAAGACCAACAAGAGAAAGAUA